UACGUAGGGAGCGAGCGUUGUCCGGAAUUACUGGGUGUAAAGGGAGCGUAGACGGUGAAGCAAGUCUGAAGUGAAAGGCGGGGGCUCAACCCCCGGACUGCUUUGGAAACUGUUUGACUGGAGUGCAGGAGAGGUAAGUGGAAUUCCUAGUGUAGCGGUGAAAUGCGUAGAUAUUAGGAGGAACACCAGUGGCGAAGGCGGCCUGCUGGACAUUAACUGACGCUGAGGAGCGAAAGCGUGGGGAGCAAACAGG
rnacentral:rRNA from 1 species